AUGUAAUUGUCUGAACGUUUUUGGUGAUUGUGGGCAAACGGAAGGGGGUAGGAGGGUAUUGAAAGCAAGGGUUGAAAGUAGAGUGUUUGGGCUACGUUUUAGUGCCAAGCGCGUUUCGAUUGAACGAUGAGAAGUUAGAGAAAAUUGAGGUUGAAUUUGAGGGAUGUUUGAAAUUUUUGCCGAGAAUAAUUUUUCAGCCAUGCAACUUACCUAAUAAAACAUGUAAUUAUGGAAAAACGGAAAAAGAUAGAAAGGAAUUGAAAACACGAGUUGAAAGUAGAAUGUUUGGGCCACGUUUUGGUGCCAGGCGUGUUUUGAUCGGAUGAUUAGAAGUUAGAGAAAAUUGAGGUUAAAUCUGAGGAACGUUUUAAGUUUUUGCCAAGAAUAAUUUUUUCAGCCAUGCAACUUACCUAAUAAAACAUGUAAUUCUGGGCAAACAGGAAAA